rnacentral:tRNA from 1 species
GUUUAUAUAGUUUAAGGUAAAACAUUACAUUUUCAUUGUAAAAUUAAAAUUUUUUAUUUUUAUAAAUU